CGUUAAUUUGAGAGCAACACAUGCAGCACUUAAUUCAUCUGUUAGUCUGUUUCUGGUAUCAGAUUUGAUAUAAUUCAAUGCUGAAAACAGCUGCUCACAUGCAUAAGACGACCUAAACAACGAAAGAAGAGCAAGCCCAAGUGCUUUCAUUGACUUAAAAUUAUUCCGCAGAGAAUUCCACACUUUAAGGAUUUCAUUUUCAGAACUACCAACUGUGCUGUCCAUUGUCAUCCCUUCACAUUCUAUCUUCUCAAGUGUGGCAUGCAGGGCAUAGAAUUUAUUUUUCCAGAUAGAGCUUUCUUGAAAUUCUAAUAGCUCUAUUUCCAGAUUUUUUAAAUCUAACCAGUGUAAGCAGGAAACAUCAAGCUCUUCAUAUUUGGCUUUAUCUGGAGAAGUGAGAAAAUACAGGGUUAUCUCCAUUUUCCGGAAAUGCAAGAAUCUGUUGCUAAAAUUCUCC